AUACGGAGGGAGCAAGCGUUAUUCGGAAUCACUGGGCGUAAAGGACGCGUAGGCGGGUUUGUAAGUCAGGUGUGAAAUCCUACAGCUUAACUGUAGAACUGCAUUUGAAACUGCUAACCUAGAGUAUGGGAGGGGGAGAUGGAAUUAGUGGUGUAGGGGUAAAAUCCGUAGAUAUCACUAGGAAUACCGAAAGCGAAGGCGAUCUCCUGGAACAUAACUGACGCUAAGGCGUGAAAGCGUGGGGAGCAAACAGGAUUAGAUACCCUAGUAGUCC
rnacentral:rRNA from 1 species